rnacentral:rRNA from 1 species
AACGAACGCUGGCGGCAUGCCUAACACACGCAAGUCGAACGAAGCCUUCGGGCUUAGUGGCGCACGGGUGCGUAACGCGUGGGAAUCUGCCCUUUGGUUCGGAAUAACAGUUGGAAACGACUGCUAAUACCGGAUGAUGACGAAAGUCCAAAGAUUUAUCGCCAGAGGAUAAGCCCGCGUAGGAUUAGCUAGUUGGUGUGGUAAAGGCGCACCAAGGCGACGAUCCUUAGCGGGUCUGAGAGGAUGAUCGGCCACACUGGGACUGAGACACGGCCCAGACUCCUACGGGAGGCAGCAGUGGGGAAUAUUGGACAAGGGGCGAAAGCCUGAUCCAGCAAUGCCGCGUGAGUGAUGAAGGCCCUAGGGUUGUAAAGCUCUUUUACCCGGGAUGAUAAUGACAGUACCGGGAGAAUAGGCCCCGGCUAACUCCGUGCCAGCAGCCGCCGUAA